rnacentral:rRNA from 1 species
CAAUAGCGUAUAUUAAAGUUGUUGCGGUAAAAAAGCUCGUAGUUGGAUUUCUACCGAAGAUAGCCGGUCGGGUCUUCGACCUUGUAUCUGGUUUUGUCUUUGGUAUCCUCAUAGGGAACGUUUCUGCGCUUUAUUGCGUGGUGCGGUAUCUAUGACUUUUACUUUGAGGAAACUAGAGUGUUCACGGCAGGCAAACGCCUUGAAUAUAUUAGCAUGGAAUAAUAACAUAGGAUCUUCGUCCUAUUUUGUUGGUUUCUAGGGCUAAGAUAAUGAUUAAUAGGGAUAAUUGGGGGCAUCUGUAUCAACGCGUCAGAGGUGGAAUUCUUGGAUUGCGUUGCGACAAACUACUGCGAAAGCAUUUGCCAAGGAUGUUUUCAUUGA